AAGUAAAGUCGUAACAAGGUUCCGUAGGUGAACCUGCGGAAGGAUCAUUAUCGUAGGGGCCUCGCCCCCUUCGAGAUAGCACCCUUUGUUUAUGAGCACCUCUCGUUUCCUCGGCAGGCUCGCCUGCCAACGGGGACCCACCACAAACCCAUAUGCAGUACAAGAAGUACACGUCUGAACAAAACAAAACAAACUAUUUACAACUUUCAACAACGGAUCUCUUGGUUCUGGCAUCGAUGAAGAACGCAGCGAAAUGCGAUAAGUAGUGUGAAUUGCAGAAUUCAGUGAAUCAUCGAAUCUUGAACGCACAUUGCGCCCUUUGGUAUUCCUUAGGGCAUGCCUGUUCGAGCGUCAUUUCAACCCUCAAGCCUAGCUUGGUGUUGGGCGUCUGUCCCGCCUCCGCGCGCCUGGACUCGCCUCAAAAGCAUUGGCGGCCGGUUCCCAGCAGGCCACGAGCGCAGCAGAGCAAGCGCUGAAGUGGCUGCGGGUCGGCGCACCAUGAGCCCCCACACCAGAAUUUUGACUCGGAUCAGGUAGGGAUACCCGCUGAACUUAAGCAUAUCAAUAAGCGGAGGA
rnacentral:rRNA from 1 species